rnacentral:rRNA from 1 species
GGUUUUUUGAGUGUUAUGAAAAAUCUGACCUGCUCUAUGGUAGUUUUAAAUGGCCGCAGUAUUUUGACUGUGCUAAGGUAGCAUAAUCAUUUGUUUUUUAAUUGAAGGCUGGAAUGAAGGGUUUGACGAGAGAAAGACUGUCUUUUUAGGAGAGUAUUGAAUUUGGUAAUUAAUGUGAUAAAACAUUUAUGGGGCUAAGGGAAGAGAAGACCCUAUUAAGUUUGACUUGGAGAUUUGUUUUGAGUUUUUUUAUGUUGGAUUUAAGGAGGUUUUUGAGUUUUGUUGGGGUGAUAGUAAAAGAAUGAAUCUUUUUAGAAGAGAGAGGAAAGGAGUUUUGAGAAAAUUUGAUCCAGUAUUAUUGAUAGUUAGAUUAAUAUUACUAUAGGGAUAACAGCAUAAUAUAUUCAGAGAGUUCUUAUCAAUGAAUAAUUUUGUGACUUCGAUGUUGAAUUAAGAUCUUCUUUGGUGUAGGGGCUAGAGGGAGGAAGUCUGUUCGACUUUUAAAAUCUUACAUGAUCUGAGU